UACAGAGGGUGCAAGCGUUAAUCGGAAUUAUUGGGCGUAAAGAGCUCGUAGGCGGUCUGUCGCGUCUGCUGUGAAAACUCAGGGCUUAACCCUGAGCUUGCAGUGGGUACGGGCAGACUAGAGUGCGGUAGGGGAGACUGGAAUUCCUGGUGUAGCGGUGAAAUGCGCAGAUAUCAGGAGGAACACCGGUGGCGAAGGCGGGUCUCUGGGCCGUAACUGACGCUGAGGAGCGAAAGCAUGGGGAGCGAACAGG
rnacentral:rRNA from 1 species